CAGGUGGAUAAGCCAGUUUGUGAUUGGUCCCCGCAAAAUUGUAACGGAAGCAGGAUUGAUAAAUCGGGCUGGGUUUACACAGUCUAGCACAAGCUUUCUUCUAGCCAAGAUGUCUUCAGUCAGUCCCUGCAGGCAGAGCUGUUUCUUCCUACAGCCAUUAGGGGGCCCCCAAGCUGCAAGUUCAGCCCGUUCGGGCUCAAUAUAUUUAGGGAGAAAUAAAGUUACUUUAUUUGUAGCCACUAGCAAGUAGCCUUCUUUGUUCUAAAUUUUUUUUAAAUAAACCUGUUUGAGGAAAAUCCUGCAUCUGUUGCAUUUAUUGAGGUAGAGGAGCCUCAUUGUUAACUUUUGUGUAGGUUUAAAUUGCUUGGGUCAACUUGAGAUGUUUUAAUUUGAAUUUGAGAAAGGUUUUUACGAAUCUAGCCUGUUUUCCUCCUAAAGUGUAAUGUAUUGAUGCAUCUCCAUGGAUCAUCUUAAAGGUCUGAAUCACCCCCCAUUGUAGUUUGACAAAAUAGGGGCCCCCAAACAGCAUCUUGCAUAGGGAACGGCCCUGCCUGCAGGAACCCAACUAAUGCAGAACAAACCCAUCCCAUCAUACCUACUUGCGAGAGCUAAAAGUUCUGUCCAGUCCGCUCAACAUCUCUGUGAAACAUUAAAAUUAGAAGAGCUGAAAAUUGUACCAAUCACUUCUGCUUUUCCAUCCAAUUCAGGACUCCUGUUAUAAGUGAAGAUCAAAUAAAACCGACUUCCUCAAUGAACAUCAGAGGGCUUUGGGCCUUCUGAAGUUGUCUUCCUGGGCAGAGAAUCCUCAGCGUAUACAUGUAUGUGACAAUAAAUAAACUAAACUAAGUAUUGCCCUACCUAUCUCCAUCAAACUAACCAUUUGAUACAGGAUACAGACUUUGUUGGGAAGGCUAAACAGCAUGAGAGCCUGACAGGCCUAAUUGCUUUACAGUUUUCCAAAAAAGCAGCUGCAGGUUCCGUUAUUUCAGUGAGACAGAUGAAUGUAGACCAUUUUAAGACCCUUUGGAUGUACUGAUCCAUUAGCGCCUUGCCUAAGCCUCUUCCUCUUCUUCACUAUGAGGCAGCUUAUGCAAAUACACACCCACUACAAAUCUGCUGGCCUUCAGACUGCAGGCAGCGGUAGCUGCUGUGUGUGUAAUAUAAGAAAAAGUGAAAGUUAAUUCAACACAUCUUGGUUCUCCAAAAGUACUCACAGAUGUCGAACUAUUUUCAGUCUGGUUUCACUCCAGCUUGGAUGAAAAGCAUGUGCUGCAAUACAUGUAGAAAGGUGGAAAAUAACUUCAGAUUCAGUGUAAAUUUUGUAACUUCUUUACUUUUUUCAACCCUACUGAGCACAAUUUGCUCACAAAUACAGUGACUGUACUGUCCAUGUUCAACGUGCUACUCAGGUCUUUGCUGUAUGAGUCCAUUCAGUGUAAGCUGUAGGUUUGUUUUAUCUGAUCCUUCUGUAAUAAAUAUCUACUGUACAUAUGAA